rnacentral:lncRNA from 1 species
AGAUAGUGUGCAAAAAGGACCGUAUUUUCUAUUUAAAAUUUUUAUUUAUUUAUUUUUAUAGGACAGUACUCUCUUCAUCUUGAUGCAAUUCUCAUCUCUCCUAUAUUCAGUCUUAAAAUGAAUCUAAAGAUAAGAGGAACAUCAUUGCAGAGAACUACUCAUAAGCUCACAACUUGUUCCACCAAAAGCUGAUUGCAAAGUGCUCACCUGGUUCAACUGCUAGGGGAAGUUAUUUACUAUGAGACACAUCAGACAUGACUGAAGUGAAGAGCUGAAGGAAGCCACACUUGAUUUAGAGCCAAAGGACCUAGAAUCAAAUUCCAAAUCUGUUGGUUCCUAACUGAUUGGCCUUGAAGAAAUUGUUCAACCCCUCUGGGCUCAGUCCUCAUCUCUAAAUUGAGGGAAUUGGAUUAAACCAACUCUGAAGUCCU